GCUUGCUUUCUUUGCUGGCGACCGGCGCACGGGUGAGUAACACGUAUCCAACCUACCCUUUACUCGGGGAUAGCCUUUCGAAAGAAAGAUUAAUACCCGAUAGCAUAAUGAUUCCGCAUGGUUUCAUUAUUAAAGGAUUCCGGUAAAGGAUGGGGAUGCGUUCCAUUAGGUUGUUGGUGGGGUAACGGCCCACCAAGCCUUCGAUGGAUAGGGGUUCUGAGAGGAAGGUCCCCCACAUUGGAACUGAGACGCGGUCCAAACUCCUACGGGAGGCAGCAUG
rnacentral:rRNA from 1 species